UUGCUGUGAUGACUUAUCUUAGGACACCUUUGGAAUCACCAUGAAAGGAAGCUGUUCUGAGCAAC
rnacentral:snoRNA from 1 species